rnacentral:rRNA from 1 species
CCUACGGGGGGCAGCAGCCGCGGUAAUACGUAGGUGGCAAGCGUUAUCCGGAAUGAUUGGGCGUAAAGGGUGCGCAGGCGGCGUGGCAAGUCUGAAGUGAAAGGUACGGGCUCAACCUGUACAGGCUUUGGAAACUGCCACGCUCGAGGACAGGAGAGGGCGGUGGAACUCCAUGCGUAGCGGUAAAAUGCGUAGAUAUAUGGAAGAACACCAGUGGCGAAGGCGGCCGCCUGGACUGUUACUGACGCUCAGGCACGAAAGCGUGGGGAGCAAAUAGGAUUAGAAACCCGAGUAGUCCAGAUCGG